rnacentral:lncRNA from 7 species
GAUGAGAAGCAGCAUGAAUUAGUGGUUGCAAGUACAGUCUGGAAAUCAGCAUUCUUGGUUAUUAUGUCUCAAUUUGUCUCUGACUUUCUGACAUCAGAGAAGUCACCUGAGGUCAGAAUUUUAAGAUGAUUCCCACCCAUCCUUCCAUUGUUAACUAUACAAAUUGUACUUACGUGGCUUUACUUGAAGAUUGAAGGUUCACGCUUUGUCUCUGAAAGGCAGAUUACAGUACCCACCAAAGCACAGGGCUUAUCCUGGAAAUAAUAGAUUGCGAAAGUGUUCUUCUCCUGAAGGCAUAAUACAACAGUAUGAAACAGAGAUCUCCUUUAAAGUUGAGCUGGCUGGAAGAGAAGCCCUCCGACCGUCUGCUUUAUAUUCAGAUUUCAGAUUUGAGUCCUCACUUAAAGGCACAGCUGUCCCUUGACUUCAGCUAAUUGCCACGUUCCCUUGAAGGAGUGAUGCCUCUCCCAAGCUUCUGUGCUAGCAUCAAGAGAGAACUGAUCUAUGGGCUACUCAGUGGUUACUUACAUCAUUCUUGUGCUUCCAGCCACGUGACCUGACCGCAGGCUUUCAAAAGGUGGAGAACGUAGUGUCCAGAGGUCAGACCUGGUCUGUUUCAUGCAACGGCCCCAACUGAUGGCAUCCUGACAUCCUUGGGAGUGCUCUGGUCAUCAGUCCAGCCAACCAGAUGGAUCUGCUUUAGGCAGCUGGACAUUUGGGAAUCUCUGGUGGCUGCUAAGGGUUUCAUUUUCCCCUCUUCUGGACCACUAUGGGAGCUCUUUUCCACCUGGCUUCCUGUAUGUGCAAUACUUGUCAGAACUACAUAACUCUGAGUUCUCUACCCUACUGAAAAACCUGUAUUCCAACUAAAUAAAGAUCUGUGG